UGUAAGCCUCCAGGUUUCUGCUCCGUAGGUAAGUACUGAAUUCACACAGGACAACGACCAUGACGAAGACGGCAUUUUUGGUAAUAAUCCUCGUCUUCUGCAUUUUUGGUACUGAUAUCCAGGUUUCCGGCAAAGGUGAACAAGAGAAAAAUCAGGAAAUGGAAACCUGUUACGAACCUACGUGCUGCGAUAAAUAUAAUUGUUCGGUACAUUGGUGCCCUAAGAACUGCAGAUGUCCUAAUUGGUUGAUUCGACAAACUGGAAACCAUGGAUGCUACUGGGUUUGAUACCGCCUUGUUCCUCAAUUUCAGCACAAGAGUUCUGCAAUAAAUGCUUUGGAGGUACUUGUUGGCUUGGA
rnacentral:lncRNA from 1 species